AGUGAACGCUGGCGGCGGGCCUAAUACAUGCAAGUCGAAGGUAGUGGCGCACGGGUGAGUAAAAUAUAGCUAAUACGCCCCUUGCUGGAGGAAAACAGUCAGAAAUGACUGCUAAUACCCCAAAGCAAGGGUGGGGACGAUAGCGUAUCAGCUAGUCGGUGGGGUAACGGCCUACCGAGGGUAUGACGCGUAACUGGGCUGAGAGGAUGAGCCGUAGAAUUGGACGUGAGGCACGGUCCGGACUCCUACCGGAAGCGGCGGUAGGGAAUCUUGCGCAAUGGGGGAAUCCCUGACGCGGCAACGCCGCGUAAAGGAUUACACUUGUCGGGGCAUAAACUCCUUUUGUUAGGGAAGCGGUACCUGACGAAUAAGCACCGGCUAACUCCGUGCCAGCAGCCGCGGUAAUUC
rnacentral:rRNA from 1 species